UACAGAGGUCCCAAGCGUUGUUCGGAUUCAUUGGGCGUAAAGCGUGCGCAGGCGGUUCUCCAAGUCCGUUGUGAAAGCCCCGGGCUCAACCUGGGAAUGGCAGUGGAAACUAGGGGACUUGAAUCUGGCAGAGGGGGGGUGGAAUUCCACGUGUAGCAGUGAAAUGCGUAGAGAUGUGGAGGAACACCGAUGGCGAAGGCAGCCCCCUGGGCUGAGAUUGACGCUCAGGCACGAAAGCGUGGGGAGCAAACAGGA
rnacentral:rRNA from 1 species